rnacentral:rRNA from 1 species
AAAAUCAGAAAUAAUUGGUGAAGAUUCGUCUUCUAAUUUAUUAUGGCAAGCAGAUAAAGACAUAAGUACUUCUGCUUCGUCCCUUGGCUCGUCAGGCACAAGCUUAAUGUCAACUCCACUUGCAGAACCAGAUCGGUUCUCAUCAUAUUCUAGCUUAAUAUUUUCUGUGUCGACUUUGCUCAAACUGGAAAAAUCAAAAACAAUUGAUGAAACUUCACCGUCCACUUUAUUAGGGAAAUCAGGUGUUUGGGCAAUGCACUCUCCGGGCCCGUCAGGCACAAGCUCAAUGUCAACUCCACUUGCAGAACCAGAUCGGUUCUCAUCAUAUUCUAGCUUGCUAUUUUCUGUGUCGACUUUGCUCAAACUGGAAAAAUCAAAAAUAAUUGAUGAAACUUCACCUUCCACUUUAUUAGGGACAUCAGGUGUUUGGGCAAUGCACUCUCCUGUCACACAUUGAAUUUU